UGGUGGAGCGAUUUGUCUGGUUAAUUCCGAUAACGAACGAGACUCUAGCCUAUUAAAUAGUUCGCCGAUUCUGUCUCGUCGGCGUCAACUUCUUAGAGGGACAAGUGGCGUUCCUAGCCACGCGAAAUUGAGCAAUAACA
rnacentral:rRNA from 1 species